rnacentral:rRNA from 1 species
CAGCUCUUGACAUGGGUAGUAUGGGCCUGGGCGACUGGGCUCUUCAGUUCGGCUGGCUACCACACAGGUGCUGCAUGGCUGUCGUCAGCUCGUGUCGUGAGAUGUUGGGUUAAGUCCCGCAACGAGCGCAACCCUCAUCUUCAGUUGCCAUCGGGUUAAGCCGGGCACUCUGGGGAAACUGCCGGUGACAAGCCGGAGGAAGGCGGGGAUGACGUCAAGUCCUCAUGGCCUUUAUGGGCUGGGCUACACACGUGCUACAAUGGCGGUGACAGUGGGUUCUGCGCGAAGGGGCGACCCGGAGCCAAUCCCCAAAAGCCGUCUCAGUUCGGAUUGCACUCUGCAACUCGAGUGCAUGAAGCUGGAAUCGCUAGUAAUCGCGGAUCAGCACGCC